rnacentral:rRNA from 1 species
GGGUUGUGAGGUUAAGCGACUAAGCGUACACGGUGGAUGCCCUGGCAGUCAGAGGCGAUGAAGGGCGUGCUAAUCUGCGAUAAGCGCCGGUAAGGUGAUAUGAACCGUUAUAACCGGCGAUACCCGAAUGGGGAAACCCAGUGUGACUCGUCACACUAUCAUUAACUGAAUCCAUAGGUUAAUGAGGCGAACCGGGGGAACUGAAACAUCUAAGUACCCCGAGGAAAAGAAAUCAACCGAGAUUCCCCCAGUAGCGGCGAGCGAACGGGGAGGAGCCCAGAGCCUGAAUCAGCAUGUGUGUUAGUGGAAGCGUCUGGAAAGGCGCGCGAUACAGGGUGACAGCCCCGUACACAAAAGCGCAUGUGCUGUGAGCUCGAUGAGUAGGGCGGGACACGUGGUAUCCUGUCUGAAUAUGGGGGGACCAUCCUCCAAGGCUAAAUACUCCUGACUGACCGAUAGUGAACCAGUACCGUGAGGGAAAGGCGAAAAGAACCCCGGCGAGGGGAGUGAAAAAGAACCUGAAACCGUGUACGUACAAGCAGUGGGAGCACCCUUUGGGGUGUGACUGCGUACCUUUUGUAUAAUGGGUCAGCGACUUAUAUUCUGUAGCAAGGUUAACCGCAUAGGGGAGCCGGAGGGAAACCGAGUCUUAACCGGGCGUUAAGUUGCAGGGUAUAGACCCGAAACCCGGUGAUCUAGCCAUGGGCAGGUUGAAGGUUGGGUAACACUAACUGGAGGACCGAACCGACUAAUGUUGAAAAAUUAGCGGAUGACCUGUGGCUGGGGGUGAAAGGCCAAUCAAACCGGGAGAUAGCUGGUUCUCCCCGAAAGCUAUUUAGGUAGCGCCUCGUGAAUUCAUCUCCGGGGGUAGAGCACUGUUUCGGCUAGGGGGCCAUCCCGGCUUACCAACCCGAUGCAAACUGCGAAUACCGGAGAAUGUUAUCACGGGAGACACACGGCGGGUGCUAACGUCCGUCGUGAAGAGGGAAACAACCCAGACCGCCAGCUAAGGUCCCAAAGUCAUGGUUAAGUGGGAAACGAUGUGGGAAGGCCCAGACAGCCAGGAUGUUGGCUUAGAAGCAGCCAUCAUUUAAAGAAAGCGUAAUAGCUCACUGGUCGAGUCGGCCUGCGCGGAAGAUGUAACGGGGCUAAACCAUGCACCGAAGCUGCGGCAGCGACGCUGAUGCGUUGUUGGGUAGGGGAGCGUUCUGUAAGCCUGCGAAGGUGGCCUGUGAGGGUUGCUGGAGGUAUCAGAAGUGCGAAUGCUGACAUAAGUAACGAUAAAGCGGGUGAAAAGCCCGCUCGCCGGAAGACCAAGGGUUCCUGUCCAACGUUAAUCGGGGCAGGGUGAGUCGACCCCUAAGGCGAGGCCGAAAGGCGUAGUCGAUGGGAAACGGGUUAAUAUUCCCGUACUUGGUGUUACUGCGAAGGGGGGACGGAGAAGGCUAUGUUGGCCGGGCGACGGUUGUCCCGGUUUAAGCGUGUAGGUGUGUGUUCCAGGUAAAUCCGGUUCACUUUAACACUGAGGCGUGAUGACGAGGCACUACGGUGCUGAAGCAACAAAUGCCCUGCUUCCAGGAAAAGCCUCUAAGCAUCAGGUAACAUCAAAUCGUACCCCAAACCGACACAGGUGGUCAGGUAGAGAAUACCAAGGCGCUUGAGAGAACUCGGGUGAAGGAACUAGGCAAAAUGGUGCCGUAACUUCGGGAGAAGGCACGCUGACACGUAGGUGAAGUGAUUUACUCAUGGAGCUGAAGUCAGUCGAAGAUACCAGCUGGCUGCAACUGUUUAUUAAAAACACAGCACUGUGCAAACACGAAAGUGGACGUAUACGGUGUGACGCCUGCCCGGUGCCGGAAGGUUAAUUGAUGGGGUCAGCGCAAGCGAAGCUCCUGAUCGAAGCCCCGGUAAACGGCGGCCGUAACUAUAACGGUCCUAAGGUAGCGAAAUUCCUUGUCGGGUAAGUUCCGACCUGCACGAAUGGCGUAAUGAUGGCCAGGCUGUCUCCACCCGAGACUCAGUGAAAUUGAACUCGCUGUGAAGAUGCAGUGUACCCGCGGCAAGACGGAAAGACCCCGUGAACCUUUACUAUAGCUUGACACUGAACAUUGAGCCUUGAUGUGUAGGAUAGGUGGGAGGCUUUGAAGUGUGGACGCCAGUCUGCAUGGAGCCGACCUUGAAAUACCACCCUUUAAUGUUUGAUGUUCUAACGUGGACCCGUAAUCCGGGUUGCGGACAGUGUCUGGUGGGUAGUUUGACUGGGGCGGUCUCCUCCUAAAGAGUAACGGAGGAGCACGAAGGUUGGCUAAUCCUGGUCGGACAUCAGGAGGUUAGUGCAAUGGCAUAAGCCAGCUUGACUGCGAGCGUGACGGCGCGAGCAGGUGCGAAAGCAGGUCAUAGUGAUCCGGUGGUUCUGAAUGGAAGGGCCAUCGCUCAACGGAUAAAAGGUACUCCGGGGAUAACAGGCUGAUACCGCCCAAGAGUUCAUAUCGACGGCGGUGUUUGGCACCUCGAUGUCGGCUCAUCACAUCCUGGGGCUGAAGUAGGUCCCAAGGGUAUGGCUGUUCGCCAUUUAAAGUGGUACGCGAGCUGGGUUUAGAACGUCGUGAGACAGUUCGGUCCCUAUCUGCCGUGGGCGCUGGAGAACUGAGGGGGGCUGCUCCUAGUACGAGAGGACCGGAGUGGACGCAUCACUGGUGUUCGGGUUGUCAUGCCAAUGGCACUGCCCGGUAGCUAAAUGCGGAAGAGAUAAGUGCUGAAAGCAUCUAAGCACGAAACUUGCCCCGAGAUGAGUUCUCCCUGAGACUUAGAGUCUCCUGAAGGAACGUUGAAGACGACGACGUUGAUAGGCCGGGUGUGUAAGCGCAGCGAUGCGUUGAGCUAACCGGUACUAAUGAACCGUGAGGCUUAACCUUACAACGCCGAAG